CAGUCGCCGCGGGAAUACGUAGGUGGCAAGCGUUGUCCGGAAUUAUUGGGCGUAAAGCGCGCGCAGGUGGUUUAAUAAGUCUGAUGUGAAAGCCCACGGCUCAACCGUGGAGGGUCAUUGGAAACUGUUAAACUUGAGUGCAGGAGAGAAAAGUGGAAUUCCUAGUGUAGCGGUGAAAUGCGUAGAGAUUAGGAGGAACACCAGUGGCGAAGGCGGCUUUUUGGCCUGUAACUGACACUGAGGCGCGAAAGCGUGGGGAGCAAACAGGAUUAGAUACCCGCGUAGUCCCUGUCUCUUAUAC
rnacentral:rRNA from 1 species